rnacentral:sRNA from 1 species
CAGGCACUCUUGCUUCCCAGGAGCCGUCUACAUCUGCACGGAAGACGCCUUCCCUCACAAGCGCCUGCAGCAGCUCAUGGCCCAGCAGCCGCGGCUGCGCACUGACGUUCCAGGAGAGCUGCUUCAGAAGCUCCGAUUUGGCAGCCAGAUCUUCAUCGAGCACGUGGCCGAUGUGGACACCUUGUUGGAGUGUGUGAAUAAGAAGGUCCCCGUACUGCUGUCUCGGGGCAUGGCUCGCCUGGUGGUCAUCGACUCGGUGGCAGCCCCAUUCCGCUGUGAAUUUGACAGCCAGGCCUCCGCCCCCAGGGCCAGGCAUCUGCAGUCCCUGGGGGCCGCGCUGCGUGAGCUGAGCAGUGCCUUCCAGAGCCCUGUGCUGUGCAUCAACCAGGUGACAGAGGCCAUGGAGGAGCAGGGCGCAGCACACGGGCCGCUGGGGUUCUGGGACGAGCGUGUUUCCCCAGCCCUUGGCAUAACCUGGGCUAACCAGCUCCUGGUGAGACUGUUGGCUGA